AUUCCGGUUGAUCCUGCCGGAGGAGGCUUUGAUGAGGUGAAUCUACACGCUGCGCUGCGCCGGCUGCCGCGUUGUCCGAAGACCGGCAAUUGACCAUUCACAAGCGAUCCAUCGACGCCCGCAGCCGGGACAUCAAAGUGCUUGUCACAUUCGGCAUCCAGGACUCGGGUGCCGGACCAGCCAUCACCUACACGCGUGAUUUGCCCGAUGUCACCCAAGCGCCGGAAGCCAUCAUCGUAGGGGCCGGACCUGCUGGUCUGUUCGCAGCUUUAAAACUGAUUGAAUCCGGUGUCCGUCCGGUCAUCAUCGAACGCGGAAAAGAUGUUCGUGCCCGCCGCCGUGACAUCGCUGCCAUCAACAAAGACCAUGUCGUUGAUCCGGACUCCAACUAUUGUUUCGGUGAAGGCGGUGCAGGAACCUACUCCGACGGAAAAUUGUACACGCGAUCGGUGAAGCGCGGGGACCUGCGGCGCAUUCUCGAAAUACUCCAUGUCCAUGGUGCACGGGAAGAAAUCCUUUUCGAUGCCCAUCCGCACAUCGGCACCAACAAACUUCCGGGCAUUAUUUCCGAAAUGCGUGAAANCAUCCUGCGGUCCGGCGGGAUCCACCGGACACGCGGAUUCCGGGGCCCGUCG
rnacentral:rRNA from 1 species